GGGCCCGCACAAGCGGUGGAGCAUGUGGUUUAAUUCGAUGAUACGCGAGGAACCUUACCAGGGUUUAAAUGUAGAAUGACCGGGGUGGAAACACCCCUUUCUUCGGACAGACUACAAGGUGCUGCAUGGUUGUCGUCAGCUCGUGCUGUGAAGUGUCGGGUUAAGUCCCAUAACGAGCGCAACCCCCAUUUCUAGUUGCCAGCGGUUCGGCCGGGGACUCUAGGGAAACUGCCGGUGCUAAGCCGGAGGAAGGCGGGGAUGACGUCAAGUCCUCAUGGCCCUUACGGGUAGGGCUACACACGUGCUACAAUGGCAGUGACAAUGGGCUAAUCCCCAAAAGCUGUCUCAGUUCGGAUUGUCGGCUGCAACUCGCCGGCAUG
rnacentral:rRNA from 1 species